rnacentral:rRNA from 1 species
UACAGGGGGUGCAAGCGUUGUCCGGAAUCAUUGGGCGUAAAGAGCGUGUAGGCGGCUCGGUAAGUCCGCUGUGAAAGUCCAGGGCUCAACCCUGGAAUGCCGGUGGAAACUGUCGAGCUAGAGUCCGGAAGAGGCGAGUGGAAUUCCUGGUGUAGCGGUGAAAUGCGCAGAUAUCAGGAGGAACACCAAUAGCGAAGGCAGCUCGCUGGGACGUUACUGACACUGAGGCGCGAAAGCGUGGGGAGCGAACAGG